AGAGUUUGAUUCUGGCUCAGGAUGAACGCUGGCGGCGUGCCUAACACAUGCAAGUCGAACGGGACUUAUGAGACGAUUCGGUCUGAUCAUUAAGGUUAGUGGCGGACGGGUGAGUAACGCGUGGACAACCUGCCUUUCACAGGGGGAUAGCAGCUGGAAACGGCUGGUAAUACCGGCAUACGCUCAUGCCACCGCAUGGUGGUGUGAGGAAAGAUUUUAUCGGUGAAAGAUGGAUCCGCGUCUGAUUAGCCAGUUGGCGGGGUAACGGCCCACCAAAGCGACGAUCAGUAGCCGGCCUGAGAGGGCGGACGGCCACAUUGGGACUGAGACACGGCCCAGACUCCUACGGGAGGCAGCAGUGGGGGAUAUUGCACAAUGGGGCCGCAAGCCUGACCCAGCAACGCCGCGUGAAGGAAGAAGGCUUUCGGGUUGUAAACUUCUUUUACCAGGGACGAAGGAUGUGACGGUACCUGGAGAAAAAGCCACGGCCAACUACGUGCCAGCCGCAGC
rnacentral:rRNA from 1 species